rnacentral:rRNA from 1 species
GCGGUAAUACGAAGGGGGCUAGCGUUGUUCGGAAUUACUGGGCGUAAAGCGCACGUAGGCGGAUACUUAAGUCAGGGGUGAAAUCCCGGGGCUCAACCCCGGAACUGCCUUUGAUACUGGGUAUCUCGAGUCCGGAAGAGGUGAGUGGAAUUCCGAGUGUAGAGGUGAAAUUCGUAGAUAUUCGGAGGAACACCAGUGGCGAAGGCGGCUCACUGGUCCGGUACUGACGCU